CACAAGGUGGGAAUGGUGAUUUCCACCUCUCGGGAGAAGAGAGAAUGGGCCCGGAUCUGAGGGGCAUUAACAGGGGAGCAGAGUCUUACUGUGUCAAAUUCUAUCUUGUCCGUGACCUUUGGCGGGCUAUGUGCUGGCACGGAGAGGAAGUUGGAGCGAGGUGUCUGGACCAUGGCGAGGAAAUGGAUCAAUUCUUGCCCUCGUGUUCACUGAAUGAAGUAACUUACAGCCCCAGCUUUGCAGCCAGACAGAGCCCUGGGCAAGUUACCCUGGCCUCGGAGCCCCCACACCUGACACCCCACGUGUUCUCAGCUGUAACGUGGGUUGCAGACACCCGUGUUGCCAAUGUUAUUACCAUGAUUGUUGUUUUCUUCCACUGGCAGAUGCACAGGAAAUGGCUCUCUCUGCUGAACUGAGCACCUCUGGGGCUCCUUCCUGGCCUGGGGUUUCUUUGAGACAGGCCCAGGAGAGUGACAGCCGGGCCUGAGAGGGAAGGACAGGCUGUGACUCACAAAGGUGCAGGAGUCCUCUCCCCGGGUUCACCGGGAGCUGACGGGCUAGGCCGUGGGAGGCCUUGAGACCAAGCUCCGACUUUGGAGAUGGGCCAGGCUUGGCUGGGCGCCUCCAGUGGUUUUGAACAGGGGGCGCCAUGAGUUAACUGGUGCUUUCAGAAAGCUAAACCUGGCAGCAAGUGGCUUCUUCAGAGAAGGGACUCACCCAACAUCAGAAUGUUUACCAAAAUCAAUCACGCGGUGGGCCAUAGAGAAAGUCUCCUUACACUGCAAAGAAUCUGUGUGGUUAUACCGUGUCUGCGAUCACAGUGAAAUACAACUAGAUAUUAAAAGCAAAAGAAUAGCUCAGAAAUUCUGUUUGGAAGCUAAAUAGCAUGUUUAAAAUAGAAACAAUAAAAGAAAUCAGAAAAAUCAAGGAUGGCAUGAUUUUGAGGAUGCUACAUGCCCAAAUGUGUGGCACACAGAGAGAGGGAAAUCUAUGCCUUUAAAUCUAUUUAUCAGGAAACAAGAAGGGUUGAAAACAAACCAGCUAGGUGUUUGCUCCUAGAAACUGGAAAAAGAGCUACAGAGCAAACCUAAAGGAACAAGAAAGAUGACAGGAAUAAGGACAAGGGCAGGCACAAAUAAAUAGAGAUUAGCAAAGGUGCAGACAGGUUUUUUGGAAAGAUUAACAACGACAGAGGGAGGGCCACGAGAUGAUGCUGUCAGGAGGGCGUGCAGGACACAGGAUGCUUUGGGCUGUAGGUGUGGGGAAAAGGCAACCAGGUUUUUCCAUGCAUCUCACAGGACUGGUUUGCCUGGGACAGCCCUGGUUUCUGCCUGUUGUCCUGGCUAUCACUCAUGGCAUCUCCCAUCCCCUCAAAGGGUCCUGCUUUGGAAGGUAACUGACACCAGUGCUGUCCAAUAGGAACUGAGACCCUUAUGUAACUACUGAGAUGUGUGGUUGGUGCAAAUUCACAUCAGAUUUUGAAGACUUAGUAUGAGAACAAGAAAGUAAAACAUCUCAUACAUACGUGUGUGUGUGUGUGUGUGCGUGUAUGUUUUAUUUUUAUUUUUAUUUUUUUGAGAUGGAGUCUCGCUCUGUCACGCAGGCUGGAGUGCAAUGGCACGAUCUCAGCUCACUGCAACCUCCUACUCCCGGGUUCAAAUGAUUCUCCUGCCUCACCCUCCCGAGUAGCUGGGAUUACAGGUGCCACCACCACGCCCAGCUAAUUUUUGUAUUUUUAGUAGAGAUGGGGUUUUGCCAUGUUGGCCAGGCUGGUCUGGAACUCCUGACCUCAAGUGAUCCAACUGCCUCGGCCUCCCAAAAUGCUGGGAUUACAGGUGUGAGCCACCACACCUGGCCUCAUUAAUAUUUUUUAUAUUGAUUACAAGUUCAAUAAUAUUUUAGAUCUAUUGAAUUAAGAAUUAAUACAUCACUAAAAUUAUUUCCACCUGGUUCUUUGAUGUGAUUACUAGAAAAUAAAACAUUACUUCUGUGGCUUGCAUUCUACUUUUGUGUUCAGUGCUGAUUGACACGGUCACCCCAGCCAUGGGCGGGACGCUGGGAUGGGCCUGGUUAAAGGCAAAGGCUUCGGUUCAGAUGCAGACCCCAGCACUAACUUGUCUUAGUCAAAUAAUACCAACUCCUUACGUUUCAAUUCCCCCUUCUCUAAAGUGGCAGUAGGAUGGGUCUCGGUCUCCUAAGAUUUGGGGAAGUUCCACUUAGGUAACUCGCGUAAAGCACUCAGCGCUGUGCGGUUGGCAUUCAUUAAGUAUUAGUUGCCAGUCAUAAAACAGCAUAACGAUGAGAUGCUUUUCCCCCCACAGCCCUGUGAUGCCACUUUAUUGCUUAGGAAGUGAUGGUACAUGAAAUGUUCAGUGGCUUGCCCAUGGCCUCAAGAGAGCAAAGCUGGCCUUCCCACCUCACCACAUGACACUGGGGUAAGAUGGACAGCGGGAUCUGUUGCCUGUGCUCCUGUGAGCCGGCUGGCCUGGCAGAGGGGGCCUCUUUGCUUCUAACCACCCUUCCUUCCGCCAGCUCAUCCUACUCUUCCCUAGAAGCCAUCUCUGCCCACCAGCCCCCACUAAUCUCAGCCCAUCCUGGCCUCGAGUGAGGAGAGGAUGUUCUCUUGGCCUUCUCUGCACACUCCGGGUUCCCCAAGUUUGGACCUUCGACUUUCCCCCUCUUUCUCCCCACUUGGUGCCCCCAGCACGUAGCAUGAAGUUUGGUCCUCCACAAAGCUUGGCUGGGAGCUUGACAAAUGUUCCUUGGUUUGUCAAACAAACUCUCCGGCUUGAACUAAGUGCCUUUCUUUCAGAUUUCAGAAUGGAUGGGCCUCAGCCAUGGCAAAUCUGAGAGUCUUUGUGUGCAGAAAUGCCCUUGGAUGCCCUUGUCUGUGCAUGGUUGCCAGAGCUGGUCACCCCAGCCAGACAUGCUGGUCUGGGCACCUCCCGGGAGGAGCCCCGGGUGAUGGCACCUGUUUUCAUGAAUGACACAGCAAUCUCCACUUCAGUAAGGGCCGACCAUACUGUUGAUUCCUGCCCUGAGACCCUUCUC
rnacentral:lncRNA from 1 species